CGCUCCGCUCGUUCGAGCCCCGCUUUGACAUAAAACCGGGAGAGAAAACUUUAAGACCAGUCGUAGCUUAAAAAAAGGCAUUACUUUAUCCCCGGGGGCGCCUCCCUGCCUGUCAUCCACACCUAGAUGCACUUCUGCAGUUUGUAUGUGAUUUGUUCAUGAAUAUGUCCCAGGAAUUCAUGCCUGUUCCAAAAGGCCUUAUCCAUAUACUAAUUAAUUAAUUCCAUGGGGCUUAUUGCACAUGUUCGGGGAGGGGUCUCUGGGGGUUGUUUGGGAUGGAACCCCUACUUGAUUUGUCCUUAUUUGUUCCCAAGGACGAGUCGAGGUUGGGCCUGUUCUUUUCUUGUUACCUGUAGCAGCAAAAUCAGAGUGUCUGACCCACACAGAGGGACUGCUGGUGAUUUACCUCUGACUGAAAAGACCACCAUGAGGUGGGAGUCGGAGUCUCCUUGCAAUGCUCUGUGAAUACAUCUGCACCAGAGGAACAACGAUGACUCAGACUGAAAAGCUCGCAUCCCGGCACAGUUUCCCCGGGUUGUGUGUUCAUUCAUUCUUCUCAGGGCAGCUGGAACGUGCCAGGUGUUUGCCUUGGGGAGAAAUCCCAGCACACAGAGGAUUUCUCUGGUGGUGG